AUGAAGAGAAAAAGAAAGAAAUUUCAAGAAAACCUAGGGCAACGGAGAAGAAAGAGUAAAAAUCUGAGAGAUCUCACCAACUUAAACUCAAAAGCAGCGCCUCCAACACCGGUCAUCGUCACAAAAAUCGCCAUCGGAUCUGCUAGGGUUUCGUUUCUCCCUUUCAAAUCUACAUGCUACCGUUCAACAUCUACAAAAUCAAGUCACAAUUUAGUAAAGAGGAGAGGAGGACGAAGUGAUUGA